rnacentral:rRNA from 1 species
GACGAACGCUGGCGGCGUGCUUAACACAUGCCAGUCGAACGCUGAAGCUUGGUGCUUGCACUGGGUGGAUGAGUGGCGAACGGGUGAGUAAUACGUGAGUAACCUGCCCUUGACUCUGGGAUAAGCCUGGGAAACUGGGUCUAAUACUGGAUACGACAUGUCACCGCAUGGUGGUGUGUGGAAAGGGUUUUACUGGUUUUGGAUGGGCUCACGGCCUAUCAGCUUGUUGGUGGGGUAAUGGCUCACCAAGGCGACGACGGGUAGCCGGCCUGAGAGGGUGACCGGCCACACUGGGACUGAGACACGGCCCAGACUCCUACGGGAGGCAGCAGUGGGGAAUAUUGCACAAUGGGCGGAAGCCUGAUGCAGCGACGCCGCGUGAGGGAUGACGGCCUUCGGGUUGUAAACCUCCUUCAGCACGGAAGAAGCGAAAGUGACGGUACGUGCAGAAGAAGCGCCGGCUAACUACGUG